AUAUCAAUAAGCGGAGGAAAAGAAACUAACAAGGAUUCCCUUAGUAACGGCGAGUGAAGCGGCAACAGCUCAAAUUUGAAAUCUGCCUCUAGGCCGAGUUGUAAUUUGUAGAAGAUGCUUCGGGUGUGGCACCGGUCUAAGUUCCUUGGAACAGGACGUCACAGAGGGUGAGAAUCCCGUACGUGACCGGUUGGCACCCCACACGUAGCUCCUUCGACGAGUCGAGUUGUUUGGGAAUGCAGCUCUAAAUGGGAGGUAAAUUCCUUCUAAAGCUAAAUACCGGCCAGAGACCGAUAGCGCACAAGUA
rnacentral:rRNA from 1 species